GGCGCGUAAAUGUAUACGUCACUUCCGUUCCGGAAAUUGUCAGGCGGCUGACCGAAGGGUGUGGUCGGAACUACAUAAGGUGGGAGGGAAAAACGGGAGGCAGAAUGUAAAGCUGCCUGAAGCGUCUUCCUCGCCUUCCCUCCCUUCUGAAGAAGACCUGCUGGGUGUUCCCUCACCUCUGAGGAAUCCUCAUAGUGUUAUUUGCUAAAAACGUGCUCCAGAGAACGUGAAGAUGUUGAGACGGAACUGAGGAAAGGUUCCAAGCCUCAUGAGAACGAUGGGCCAGAGAUCUGUAAACCCCAGAACUAGAGUCUGAAGAUGAACCUGCCUGAGACUGUUGACCUAAGAAGCUCUAGAAAUGAGAACAUCAAGGCUCUCCUCUGGCCUGCAGACAACCUGGGACCUUGUUGGAGCUGAGAUCCUUCUAUGUUCACACAGCAGAUUCCCUGAGUCCUAGGACUCUGUUACUUGUCUUACUUCAUCACCCAGCCUUCCUUGGGGGUAAGAACUGUGCCUUACACUCUUCACCCUCUUCUGGUGAGGGCCCAGCACAGUGCCUUUUGCGUAGUGGGUCAUCGAGAAAUUCCUGUUUGUGACAAUGGUGAUGAAGAAAUAGUUGGAGAGAAAGUGACUUCACCCAUGUGUGUUGAAUUUUAUUUUCUUUAAAACAGCACACCCGGGCUUCCCUGGCGGCGCAGUGGUUGAGAGUCUGCCUGCUAAUGCAGGGGACACGGGUUUGAGCCCUGGUCUGGGAGGAUCCCACAUGCCGCGGAGCGGCUGGGCCCGUGAGCCACAAUUACUGAGCCUGCGCGUCUGGAGCUUGUGCUCCGCAACAAGAGAGGCCACGAUAGUGAGAGGCCCGCGCACCGCGAUGGAGAGUGGCCCCCGCUUGCCGCAACUG